rnacentral:rRNA from 1 species
ACAACGUGAUUGCCUUAGUUACGGCGAGUGAAGCGGCAAAAGCUCCAAAUUUGAAAUCUGGUACCUUCGGUGCCCGAGUUGUAAUUUGGAGAGGGCAACUUUGGGGCCGUUCCUUGUCUAUGUUCCUUGGAACAGGACGUCAUAGAGGGUGAGAAUCCCGUGUGGCGAGGAGUGCGGUUCUUUGUAAAGUGCCUUCGAAGAGUCGAGUUGUUUGGGAAUGCAGCUCUAAGUGGGUGGUAAAUUCCAUCUAAAGCUAAAUAUUGGCGAGAGACCGAUAGCGAACAAGUACAGUGAUGGAAAGAUGAAAAGAACUUUGAAAAGAGAGUGAAAAAGUACGUGAAAUUGUUGAAAGGGAAGGGCAUUUGAUCAGACAUGGUGUUUUGUGCCCUCUGCUCCUUGUGGGUAGGGGAAUCUCGCAUUUCACUGGGCCAGCAUCAGUUUUGGUGGCAGGAUAAAUCCAUAGGAAUGUAGCUUGCCUCCGUAAGUAUUAUAGCCUGUGGGAAUACUGCCAGCUGGGACUGAGGACUGCGACGUAAGUCAAUAAGGGAGGCUGGCGGAGGGGUAACACCCCCCCUGUCU